UUGCUGUUGCUGCUGAUAGUGAUUGUGCUGUUGUUGCCUUUGUUGUUGCUGUGCAAAGUUUUGCGGCGAGGAAGCUAUUGUCGACAUACUUCGUUGCUCCAUGCGAUUGUGUUUUGUUUGCUUGCCGCUACGACUAGGCGCCGUCGCCGCAGUCGUCGUCGUCGCCGUCGUCGUAGACGCACUUGUCAAUGCCGCUGUCGCCGCCGAACUAAGAUUAUUGUGCCGUUUUUGAUUGUUACGAUGCGAUUGCUUAGACUGCUUUGUCGGAGAGGGUUGUUGAUGGUGCUGCUGCUGUUGUUGCUGCUGCAUAAGAUAUUCAUGCGCCGAAUUAUUAUGACUCGACGCCGAGGACGAUGUGGAUAUAUUCGCCGCAUCACUGCCACUACCAACACCACCACCGUGCGUGUGACUAUUACCAGCGGCAGAGGACAGACCAAACAUGCCAUCAUCAUCGUCAUCGAAGAUCAUUGGAAUGCUAGGCAACGUGGCUUGAGUAUUGUGCGCGUUCCAGCUGCAAAAAUGAAUAUAUAUUAACAAUAUUAUGAACGUGCAUUCAAAUAUAUAUAUUUAUUUUGGAAUACUCACGCCGGAGCUGAUUGUGGACUUUUGUGUAUGGAUGGCGGUGCAGACGGUGAAGCUGACGCGGAUGGCGAGUUUCUUGGCUUAAAAUCAACUGGGGAAAAACGUGUAAAAAAGUUAAUAAUUUUUAACAAAUUUUAAGUACUUACAAUGGAUAAAAUAUAUAUUUUUAAACUCU